ensembl:snRNA U6 U6 spliceosomal RNA
GUGCUUGCUUCAGCAACAUGUAUACUAAAAUUGGAACAAUACAAAGAAGAUUAGCAUGGCCCCUGCACAAGGAUGACAGGUAACUUUCAUGGAGUAUUCCAUAUUUUU